GACAGAGGUGCCGAGCGUUAGGCGGAAUCACUGGGCUUAAAGCGUGUGUAGGCGGACGUCUAAGUACCUUGUGAAAUCCCGCGGCUUAACCGUGGAAGUGCACCCGAAACUGUAUCGCUAGAGUCCCGGAGAGGAUGGUGGAAUACUUGGUGUAGAGGUGAAAUUCGUAGAUAUCAAGUGGAACACCGGUGGCGAAGGCGGCCAUCUGGACGGUGACUGACGCUGAGACGCGAAAGCGUGGGUAGCAAACAGG
rnacentral:rRNA from 1 species